rnacentral:rRNA from 1 species
AAAGAGUGGUAGAGGAGCAUCCUGUAUGAGUAGAAGUCGUACCGGAAGGAACGGUGGAUUGUACAGGAGAGAGAAUGCUGGCAUAAGUAGCGAGAAAUAAGUGAGAAUCUUAUUGGUCGAAAACCUAAGGUUUCCUGGGGAAGGUUCGUCCGCCCAGGGUAAGUCGGGACCUAAGCCGAGGCCGAAAGGCGUAGGUGAUGGACAAUCGGUUGAAAUUCCGAUACCGCAUAAAAGCGUUUGACAAAAGGGAUGACGCAGGA